rnacentral:piRNA from 1 species
CAGCUAAUUAGAUAGCAGACCAGGUGGCC